rnacentral:siRNA from 1 species
AGGCAACAACUGUCAAUUCCCUA